UAGGGAAUCUUCCGCAAUGGGCGAAAGCCUGACGGAGCAACGCCGCGUGAGUGAUGAAGGUCUUCGGAUCGUAAAACUCUGUUAUUAGGGAAGAACAAAUGUGUAAGUAACUAUGCACGUCUUGACGGUACCUAAUCAGAAACCCACGGCUAACUACGUGCCAGCAGCCGCGGUAAUACGUAGGUGGCAAGCGUUAUCCGGAAUUAUUGGGCGUAAAGCGCGCGUAGGCGGUUUUUUAAGUCUGAUGUGAAAGCCCACGGCUCAACCGUGGAGGGUCAUUGGAAACUGGAAAACUUGAGUGCAGAAGAGGAAAGUGGAAUUCCAUGUGUAGCGGUGAAAUGCGCAGAGAUAUGGAGGAACACCAGUGGCGAAGGCGACUUUCUGGUCUGUAACUGACGCUGAUGUGCGAAAGCGUGGGGAUCAAACAGG
rnacentral:rRNA from 1 species